AAAUGGUAACUAUUUGGUUAUGAAUGAGUCAUACCUUGGGCAUCAUUACAAGGUAGCAUUUCUGUGAUGAUAACAGUACACAAGUGACAGGCUUUUCUAAGUUAAUGUUUAACAGGACAGCCUGUUACUAUCCCAUGCUGUUCUGCAGCCCCUUAUGCACACGAGAGACUCCACAAGCCUAGAGUGGACAUUUCCUAGUGGGAAAUGAAGGGCUGCAGGAUGCCCUCGUAGUUUGCAGCCACCGCUGAGCAAAGGGAGCAAUGUCAAAGCAGUUCUCAUAAUAUUUACGAUAUUAAACAAAUCUGGACAUUGUUUAGAAAUUUAUUAGCAAUUUUAAAAUAACAUCAUUCCUUAGAUAAAAAUGCAAUCUUACAGGAAUAUACAUUUGUCCCACACAGAGAUGACCCUAUAGCUCGCUUGCGGGCCAUUCACUCUAACUUUUCUCUGUUGACUUUAAAACGUGCGAGAGGGCAAGACGGACUCUGGCACUGAUGACAGGCUUACAUGAUGGUUACAAACUGUACAGCAUUAUUUACAAAAGCAUUUCUGUGGCUUCAUGAAAACUAGAUAUAAAAUUGUGGAAGGAGGUAAAGACUUGAGAGAGGGAAGGACUUGGGCGGAGGUGAGAGGGAGGGCUGGGGUGGGCAGGGAGCACAGGGAAGAGUGGGAGAGGAGGUGACUGACUGGUUUAUACUUGAGAGAGGUCAUUUUACAGCUCUGGGCAAUUCAAAUGAAGGCAAAACACUUAUAUUUAUCAACAGUUAUAGCUGAUGAUCAGAGCAGGAAAUGAUGCUCCAGGGCCUGAACAGAAGAGGUGUUGAGGAACCCCAUCUUCCCUGAAGUCACCGGGAAACACAGUACAGGAUUUCUUUAUGCUGUGUUUCUGCCUUCAGCCAUACCUUCUCAGGCACUGGAGCAGCAAGGCCACAAUGGUUUCAGCUGUCCAGAAACAAAGCAAGAGAGAGCAAAGCUCCACAGACUGAGAUCCCAUCGGAAACCUUUUGGAUCCCUGGGCUCGCUAAUCCAGAACAAGACUUUUAUAUCUUUGCAACAUUCAAAAGAUGAGAAAAGAAAUCCUAUGCAGCUAUUGAAAUUUGCAUUUCUUCAUCUUUGGAGAAGAAAAUAAAUGUAGGAAAAAUAUUAAGUUCUUUCUAGGCUCAGUUCUGUUUUCCACAUUCUUUAUAUUAGUAAAACCUCCCUGACCACUAGUGAACUCUAUCCCUGUGUUAGCAGGAUGGGAACAGGGGCUUCUGAUGGCCAGGAUUUUUUUUUUUUU